CCCAUCAAUCGCUCAGUAGUCAGUGUAGAUUCUGUCAUUACAAUCAGCAGCUACAUCUGGCUACUGGGUCUCUGAUGACAUCU
rfam:Colinus virginianus strain Texas jcf7180006219454, whole genome shotgun sequence.